UGAAGCUGCCAUUGGGGCAAAGUGAGCAGCAGGGCCACCGGAGGAGGAUCUUUAAUCUCCCGGAGAGUUAACGGGGACCGGAGAGGACUGAAGCCCCGCCGGAGUUCAUGAGGACCCGGGACCGGAGAGAGGAGAGCCAGAGACACCGGGGAGAGAAGAAACGGUCCUCCGAACUGAGAGACCGGAUCACUGCUAACGGCUAACGGACUGUUUAAACUGCCAUUAACAUACACACAUACACAUACACAUACACACACAUAAAUACACACACACACAUACACACACACAUACACACACAUACAUAAACACACACAUACACACACACCGCACUACACCUGGUGGGGUAAAGGAUGUCUGCCGCCAGUAUAGACCCUCAGACAUCGAAAGGACAAGAUGCAAGCAAAGCGUUCCCAGUCUCCGUGCAGAAUGGCUCCCUCCACCAGAAGGACACAGUGCACGAUAACGACUUUGAGCCGUAUCUCACCAACCAGUCAA